GAGUUUGAUCGUGGCUCAGGAUGAACGCUAGCGGCGCGCCUAAUGCAUGCAAGUCGAGCGAUGAGGCACCUUUGGGUGUACAUCAGCGGCAGACGGGUGAGUAACACGUAGGUGACCUACCCCGAAGACGGGGGAUAACAGGUGGAAACAUCUGCUAAUACCCGAUGGGCUCUGAGCGGAAGCGAGGAGUAAAGGCUACGGUGCUUCGGGAGGGCCUGCGGCCUAUCAGCUAGUUGGUAGGGUAACGGCCUACCAAGGCGAAGACGGGUAGGGGUGUGAGAGCACGGCCCCCCACAAUGGGACUGAGACACGGCCCAUACUCCUACGGGAGGCAGCAGCAGGGAAUAUUGCGCAAUGGGCGGAAGCCUGACGCAGCGACGCCGCGUGGAUGAAGAAGGCCUUCGGGUUGUAAAGUACCUUUCUAGGGGACGGAGGAAGGACGGUACCCGUUCGGAAUAAGACGUCGGCGUACUACGUGCCAGCCGCCGCAGUAAG
rnacentral:rRNA from 1 species